AACGAACGCUGGCGGCAGGCUUAACACAUGCAAGUCGAGCGCAUCCUUCGGGGUGAGCGGCAGACGGGUGAGUAACGCGUGGGAACGUGCCCUUUGCUACGGAAUAGCUCCGGGAAACUGGAAUUAAUACCGUAUGAGCCCUUUGGGGGAAAGAUUUAUCGGCAAAGGAUCGGCCCGCGUUGGAUUAGCUAGUUGGUGGGGUAAAGGCCUACCAAGGCGACGAUCCAUAGCUGGUCUGAGAGGAUGAUCAGCCACAUUGGGACUGAGACACGGCCCAAACUCCUACGGGAGGCAGCGGUGGGGAAUAUUGGACAAUGGGCGCAAGCCUGAUCCAGCCAUGCCGCGUGAAUGAUGAAGGCCUUAGGGUUGUAAAGCUCUUUCACCGGAGAAGAUAAUGACGGUAUCCGGAGAAGAAGCCCCGGCUAACUUCGUGCCAGCCGCCGCCGUAA
rnacentral:rRNA from 1 species